AGUGCAGAUUCUGGCCUUCUGUGUUCUGCCCAGUGAGAACGUAGUUGCUGCUAGUGCAGAUUUUGAAAUUGAAAUGUGUUUCCAAAACUGGGUGUCUCUGCAGUUUUCUCCACCUACGGCUGUUCCUAGUGAGGGAAAUGUUUUGACAGUCUCUGCUCAAGCAGGAUCCCUGUGUGGCCUCGGCGCUGUUGAUCAGAGUGUCCGGAUCAUGGAGCCAGGAAGACGUUUGAGCGCUGAAGCGGUGUUUGACUUUCUUCCGAUGCGAUCGCUGGUUGAACUU